rnacentral:rRNA from 1 species
AACGUAGGACACAAGCGUUAUCCGGAGUUACUGGGCGUAAAGGGCGUGUAGGCGGACCUAUAAGUCUAUUCUGAAAGCUCCUGGCUAAACUGGGAGAGGCGAAUGGAGACUGUAGAUCUAGAGUGAGGAAGAGGAAAGUGGAAUUCCGCGUGUAGUGGUGAAAUGCGUAGAGAUGCGGAAGGAACACCAGUGGCGAAAGCGACUUUCUGGUCCUUAACUGACGCUGAGGCGCGAAAAGCAUGGGG